rnacentral:lncRNA from 1 species
UUAAGGCCAAGUUAGUCAAAAUUAUCUUGGGACUUAUCUGGCCCUUUUAUUCGGCUGAAAACUUUUUAAAGCACUUAUUUUUGUCGUUCGGUAGCGUAACUUCAGGCCAAAAUUGUCAGUAAAGAUUAAUCUCCUUCAUAAGUCAGAUUUUUAUCAGUUGUUGACUGUUCAUAAGUCAAUAAAGAGUAGAGCACGACAUUCCUCAGGAGUCAAGAACAACUAGGCGGUGAACUCUACCUUGAGAUUCUACCUUGUGUGGUUAUUUGAGUUGAAAUAUGGUUUUAAUUUAUUAUAAUCUCGAUACUUAAGCGGAUUAUUUGAAAUUUCUGCAUCAAGCUGAUCCUUAAAACUGUUAACUGAUGAAGCGCAUACAACUUCAGACGGCAAUGCAUUCCAAUGAUUCACUAUUCGAUUAGUAAAAAACUGGUGCCUUUGCUCGCAAUUUUGAACAUAUUCUCUAGUAAUUUUAAGAUGAUGUCCUAUAGUUUUUGUUUUAUUUGACUCCCCAACACAAAGGACAUGGGGUUCACUUCAUGAGACAAUGUCUAUAUUGUUAAUAAUUUUAUAGGCCUGUAUCAGAUCUCCCCUAAUGCGACGGCUUUUUAAAGACCUUAAGUUUAGUAUAUUCAGACGAUAUUUGUAUGACAUAUGACGGUACGAAGGUAUUAAACGGGUAGCUCAUCUUUGUACUAUCUCGAUUUUGUCAAUAUCUAUUCUUGGUGAUGGAUUGCUGGCUGCUACCUCAAACUCUAGAUAAGGUCGCACAAAGGUUGUAUAUAGAAUUUUAAGUAGUUGCGGAGUCAUGUGACUGAAAGUACGAUACAACAUGCCUAAUACACGAUUUGGAUUCAGCAUUAUCGAUUUAGUAUAAAAACAUCAAAAUUUUGAUUUGGGCCAAAAAUCAAGUUUUUCAGACCAUUGUGCAUCGGUCUUGUGCAAGCUUGCCGCGUUCUUUACAUGAUGAUGACUCGUUACAAUAUUUUGUUUGUUUGUAAAUUACAACAUAUGUGGAUUUUUAUUACAUGCUAUACUUUGAUAACGAUUUCUUUAUAGUGCCUUUUAUGUUUCUGAGAAGUUGUGCAUAAUAAUGUUUAUUUUAAUAAAAAUAUUGUAUUUACAUCAUAUUUUUAAAGACCUUUUUUUUUUGAGGAUAAAGCAAUA